GGAAUGGAGAGGUAGAGACAGGGGGAUGGAGAGGUAGAGACAGGGGAAUGGAGAGGAAGAGAGAGAGGAAUGGAGAGGUAGAAAGAGAGGUUGUAGUUUUGGAAAUAUGCUUCUUCUUUCAGUCAUUGAUCAAAAACUACAUUACCCAGAGGUUCUUGAGGCAAGUUAAUACGUACAUUAGGUGUGGCCAGGUAGUCAGAGACAGAUAGAGAGAGCCCCUUAUUGUAACUUUCAAUCCAAGAAAUAGGAUACAGAAGAAUCACCUGAUCAACAGCACACAGGUAGUUUUCACUAUGCUAGGAGAGUGGAGAGGCGGGACUAAGCAGGCAAGUGUGUGACCCUUCUCUGUGAUUGGUGGACAGAGAUUGAUGGUUGACAGACAGACGGAUAAAUAGAACGAGACAGACAGCAGAGAGGAGAGACGGGGAGAGAGAGAUGGCUCACAGUGUCAACUUUGACCUGACUGCUGAACACAUGGAGGCUGGCCUGGAGUGAGUAUCAAUACACUAUAUCAGUGGAGGCUGGCCUGGAGUGAGUAUCAAUACACUAUAUCAGUGGAGGCUGGCCUGGAGUGAGUAUCAAUACACUAUAUCAGGGGAGGCUGGCCUGGAGUGAGUAUCAAUACACUAUAUCAGUGGAGGCUGGCCUGGAGUGAGUAUUAAUACACUAUAUCAGUGGAGGCUGGCCUGGAGUGAGUAUUAAUACACUAUAUCAGUGGAGGCUGGCCUGGA
ensembl:lncRNA